ACAUCAUCCACGGAAGUUACAACAGACACCAUCAACAUAUUCUCCCCGAAGUCCUGUGCUUCAGAGCAAUUUCAUAAAUCCCAGCAUUGUACAAACCAAACAACACAAAGGCACAAGCUUAUUAUGAUCUAUAAUUAACAAUUUUGCUGAAAGCAGAGCCGUGUAUUGAGGAGAGCCCACAUGCUAUCUGAGAAGUACUUGAAACAGGAGGCCUUUGUUUUCUUCACAAAUUUGGCAAACAGAAGGUACCUCCCUUCUCUGCUGUGCAUUGUCUUCUCCAGAAAUCCAGAAGUAUGCAGGCAGAAAAUUAAAAGAAAUAUUUUGAACUCUG